rnacentral:rRNA from 1 species
CCGAAAGGCAGGAGUGCCUGCAAGGGAGCGCGGAGACAGGUGGUGCAUGGCUGUCGUCAGCUCGUGUCGUGAGAUGUUGGGUUAAGUCCCGCAACGAGCGCAACCCUCACCUCUUGUUGCCAUCAGGUCAUGCUGGGCACUCUAGAGGAACUGCCCCGGUCAACGGGGAGGAAGGCGGGGAUGACGUCAAGUCAUCAUGCCCCUUACGUCCUGGGCUACACACGUGCUACAAUGGCCGGUACAAAGGGAUGCCACACCGCGAGGUAGAGCUAAACCCAAAAAGCCGGUCUAAGUUCGGAUCGGAGUCUGCAACUCGACUCCAUGAAGGAGGAAUCGCUAGUAAUCGCGUAUCAGCACGACGCGGUGAAUACGUUCCCGGGCCUUGUACACACCGCCCGUCACACCACGAAAGCCAG